rnacentral:rRNA from 1 species
CCUACGGGGGGCUGCAGUGAGGAAUAUUGGUCAAUGGGCGCGAGCCUGAACCAGCCAAGUCGCGUGAGGGAGGACGGCCCUACGGGUUGUAAACCUCUUUUGCCGGGGAGCAACGGGCGUCACGUGUGGCGCCACUGAGAGUACCCGGAGAAAAAGCAUCGGCUAACUCCGUGCCAGCAGCCGCGGUAAUACGGAGGAUGCGAGCGUUAUCCGGAUUUAUUGGGUUUAAAGGGUGCGUAGGCGGAUCGUUAAGUCAGUGGUAAACUUGAGAGGCUCAACCUCUUCGAGCCGUUGAAACUGGUUUUCUUGAGUGAGCGAGAAGUAUGCGGAAUGCGUGGUGUAGCGGUGAAAUGCAUAGAUAACACGCAGAACUCCGAUUGCGAAGGCAGCAUACCGGCGCUCAACUGACGCUCAUGCACGAAAGUGUGGGUAUCGAACAGGAUUAGAUACCCCAGUAGUC